rnacentral:tRNA from 1 species
GGGUCCUUAGCUCAGCUGGGAGAGCGCCUGUUUUGCAAGCAGGAGGUCGUCGGUUCGAUCCCGAUAGGAUCCACCA